AUUCUGCCGGGAGAUGGCAUUCCUCCUUUAACCGCCGCGCGCCGGCUAAUGAUGCCUACACGGAA
rnacentral:ncRNA from 2 species